CUGGCUUUGCAAAGCUCACCUGCUCUUUGUGUUGGGAAUAUUUCAGAACAGAGUUUGUCAGUGGGAGAAAAAGGCACGUUCCUGCCUCAGGUCAAAGUCUUGGAAUGAGCCCCUCACCUACCAGACCACCAUGAGACAGCAUGUGACCUUGCGGAUGGCCGGAGUUCGGAAGAGAUCCAGGAUAGAGUUGGAGGUGGAUAGACCAAUGAGAGAAGCAGCUAAAUCAUUCGCCCCAGAUCACACAGCCGUUCAGUGCUUAAAGGACAUCUUUCCUACACCAGAACUCUCCGCCUGGGUGGCAGCCGAGUCCUGGGAAGGUGGCAGAGCUUGUGGAACCCCGAGGUGGCCCUCAAGUUGGAAGGUUCCGCAGGGCUUGUUGGGACUUGCCGUGAAGGAGGAGCCAUCGAGAUGACUCUGGCAGCCACCUGGGAGGGAGAGAAGGAUGCAGAAGGACCAGGGCUGGGUGGAGCUCAUUCCAUUUCCCAAACCCAGUUACACCCACAUCCACCUUCUCUCAGAUCCUAAAAAAAGGGUGCAAGGUCCCUUGUCUCAGAACCAAGAAGACGGCAGGACACGUCACCUUCCCUUUUUUGUAAUAAAGAGAGUCACUGAA